AUUGCCUCUCUUCUAGCUACCUUAUUUUUCUAUUUCAUCUUCUAACUUUUGCGCUCUUUUUGUUGACCGGAAUUCAGACUGGGAGAAAUUGAUUCAUGUAAUCCACCAACCAUCUCUCUCCCAGCCACCUGUCUUUUUCGAGAGGCGAUAGAUCAAGUAAGGCCAUUAAAAUCUGUACAUGAUUUUAGGUCUCUUAUCAUUAUUGUUGUUCUUCCUCCCUCGUCUGUUCUUCUACUUCGGAUGAUGAUGGCUGCUUGCACGAAUAGAGCUAGAUCUCGUCAAACAUCUUUGUGUUCUCAGAAUUUGGCGAUUGGUCUUGAUCUAAGUAAAAAUUGAAGGCUUGAAAGAAGAAGAAUCUUCAAAGAUCGGCUGCUCAGUCCAUCCGAGCUCAAAGGUUUCACCUUGGUGCGGAUAUCAGUUGCCCGAAAUCCAAUUCGCGAUGACGGGUAUCUAAUCGGAUCGGGUUUGAACUGCAAAGUUUGGACUGCAAUAGUUAUGCUAUUGUUGUUGGCGUAUUUUGAAAAACAUUUCAAAUAUCAUUCAGUCUGCGAUUACUUUAUCUUACGUCCUCUGUAAUGAAGAAGAAAUUAAAUUUCUAUGAAGGAAGAAAAAAUUCAAAGAAACUACGUCGUUAGUGGUGGAGCUUAAGUACGAAGGUGAAAUAGGAAGAAUUUUUUUAAAGAAGUUAGGUUUGCACGCAGCUGAGAUUGGUGGGUUUCUCCGUUUAUUGUAUAUGGAGGAGUUGAAUUGGUUGGAUUUCUUUUGAUUUGGGGUGGGUUUGCAGGUUGUUUUGAUUUUUUAUUAUGGUGUGUUUGUAGGUAGUUUGAGUUGUUUGAUUGAUUUUAAAAUUGUCUGGGUUGGAUUUUGUAAAAAACACAAGAAGAAUAUUGAUAAAGGAGGAGAAAAAGGUGAAGGAGGAAAAAAAAAAGAAGGCG
rnacentral:lncRNA from 1 species